rnacentral:rRNA from 1 species
UAGGGAAUCUUCCACAAUGGACGAAGUCUGAUGGAGCAACGCCGCGUGAGUGAUGAAGGGUUUCGGCUCGUAAAACUCUGUUGUUGGAGAAGAACGGGUGUCAGAGUAACUGUUGACAUCGUGACGGUAUCCAACCAGAAAGCCACGGCUAACUACGUGCCAGCAGCCGCGGUAAUACGUAGGUGGCAAGCGUUGUCCGGAUUUAUUGGGCGUAAAGCGAGCGCAGGCGGUUUUUUAGGUCUGAUGUGAAAGCCUUCGGCUUAACCGGAGAAGUGCAUCGGAAACCGGGAGACUUGAGUGCAGAAGAGGACAGUGGAACUCCAUGUGUAGCGGUGAAAUGCGUAGAUAUAUGGAAGAACACCAGUGGCGAAGGCGGCUGUCUGGUCUGCAACUGACGCUGAGGCUCGAAAGCAUGGGUAGCGAACAGGAUUAGAUACCCUGGUAGUCCAUGCCGUAAACGAUGAGUGCUAAGUGUUGGAGGGUUUCCGCCCUUCANUGCUGCAGCUAACGCAUUAAGCACUCCGCCUGGGGAGUACGACCGCAAGGUUGAAAC